AUUGAACGCUGGCGGCAUGCCUAAUACAUGCAAGUCGAGCGGAUCUUGAAAAGCUUGCUUUUCCUGAUCAGCGGCGGACGGGUGAGUAACACGUGGGCAACCUGCCUGUAAGACUGGGAUAACUUCGGGAAACCGGAGCUAAUACCGGAUAAUCCUUUCCGAUUCAUGUUGGGAAGCUGAAAGACGGUUUCGGCUGUCACUUACAGAUGGGCCCGCGGCGCAUUAGCUAGUUGGUGGGGUAAUGGCCCACCAAGGCGACGAUGCGUAGCCGACCUGAGAGGGUGAUCGGCCACACUGGGACUGCGACACGGCCCAGACUCCUACGGGGGGCAGCAGUAGGGAAUCUUCCGCAAUGGACGAAAGUCUGACGGAGCAACGCCGCGUGAGCGAAGAAGGCCUUCGGGUCGUAAAGCUCUGUUGUCAGGGAAGAACAAGUACCGGAGUAACUGCCGGUACCUUGACGGUACCUGACCAGAAAGCCACGGCUAACUACGUGCCAGCAGCCGCAGUAACAC
rnacentral:rRNA from 1 species